rnacentral:rRNA from 1 species
GACGAACGCUGGCGGCGUGCCUAAUACAUGCAAGUUGAGCGCUGAAGGUUGGUACUUGUACCGACUGGAUGAGCAGCGAACGGGUGAGUAACGCGUGGGGAAUCUGCCUUUGAGCGGGGGACAACAUUUGGAAACGAAUGCUAAUACCGCAUAAAAACUUUAAACACAAGUUUUAAGUUUGAAAGAUGCAAUUGCAUCACUCAAAGAUGAUCCCGCGUUGUAUUAGCUAGUUGGUGAGGUAAAGGCGCACCAAGGCGAUGAUACAUAGCCGACCUGAGAGGGUGAUCGGCCACAUUGGGACUGAGACACGGCCCAAACUCCUACGGGAGGCAGCAGUAGGGAAUCUUCGGCAAUGGACGAAAGUCUGACCGAGCAACGCCGCGUGAGUGAAGAAGGUUUUCGGAUCGUAAAACUCUGUUGGUAGAGAAGAACGUUGGUGAGAGUGGAAAGCUCAUCAAGUGACGGUAACUACCCAGAAAGGGACGGCUAACUACGUG